rnacentral:rRNA from 1 species
CCCUUAGAUGUUCUGGGCCGCACGCGUGCUACACUGAGUGGAUCAGCGGGUCAGGUUGCGCGAAAGCGUUUCCUAAUCUUUAAAUCCGCUCGUGAUGGGGAUUGACGGUUGCAAUUUUCGGUCAUGAACGAGGAAUACCUUGUAAGCGCGGGUCAUCAUCCCGCGCUGAAUACGUCCCUGCCCUUUGUACACACCGCCCGUCGCUCCUACCGAUUGAGUGGUCCGGUGAGGCUUUGGGAUCUGAGCGGAAAGAGCGUUUCGCUGUUUCUGCUCGGAAAACUCAGUCGAACCUUAUCAUUUAGAGGAAGGAGAAGUCGUAACA